CAGCCGUAAACUAUGCUCGCUAGGUGUCAGGCAUGGCGCGACCGUGUCUGGUGCCGCAGGGAAGCCGUGAAGCGAGCCACCUGGGAAGUACGGCCGCAAGGCUGAAACUUAAAGGAAUUGGCGGGGGAGCACCACAACAGGUGGAGCCUGCGGUUUAAUUGGACUCAACGCCGGGAAGCUCACCGGAUAGGACAGCGGAAUGAUUGCCGGGCUGAAGACUCUGCAUGACUAGCUGAGAGGUGGUGCAUGGCGUAGACGUCU
rnacentral:rRNA from 1 species